GGGGCUGAUUCUGGAUUCGACGGGAUUUGCGAAACCCAAGGUGCAUGCCGAGGGGCGGUUGGCCUCGUAAAAAGCCGCAAAAAAUAGUCGCAAACGACGAAAACUACGCUUUAGCAGCUUAAUAACCUGCUUAGAGCCCUCUCUCCCUAGCCUCCGCUCUUAGGACGGGGAUCAAGAGAGGUCAAACCCAAAAGAGAUCGCGUGGAAGCCCUGCCUGGGGUUGAAGCGUUAAAACUUAAUCAGGCUAGUUUGUUAGUAGCGUGUCCGUCCGCAGCUGGCAAGCGAAUGUAAAGACUGACUAAGCAUGUAGUACCGAGGACGUAGGAAUUUCGGACGCGGGUUCAACUCCCGCCAGCUCCACCA
rnacentral:tmRNA from 1 species